ACACAUGCAAGUCGAGCGAAGCGAUCGAGAUGAAGUUUUCGGAUGGAUUCCUGAUUGACUGAGCGGCGGACGGGUGAGUAACGCGUGGGUAACCUGCCUCAUACAGGGGGAUAACAGUUAGAAAUGACUGCUAAUACCGCAUAAGCGCACAGUACCACAUGGUACGGUGUGAAAAACUCCGGUGGUAUGAGAUGGACCCGCGUCUGAUUAGCUAGUUGGUGGGGUAACGGCCCACCAAGGCGACGAUCAGUAGCCGACCUGAGAGGGUGACCGGCCACAUUGGGACUGAGACACGGCCCAAACUCCUACGGGAGGCAGCAGUGGGGAAUACUGCACAAUGGGGGAAACCCUGAUGCAGCAACGCCGCGUGAGUGAAGAAGUAUUUCGGUAUGUAAAGCUCUAUCAGCAGGGAAGAAAAUGACGGUACCUGACUAAGAAGCCCCGGCUAACUACGUGCCAGCAGCCGCGGUAAUACGUAGGGGGCAAGCGUUAUCCGGAUUUACUGGGUGUAAAGGGAGCGUAGACGGCAGCGCAAGUCUGAAGUGAAAGCCCGGGGCUCAACCCCGGAAUGGCUUUGGAAACUGUGCGGCUGGAGUACCGGAGGGGUAAGCGGAAUUCCUAGUGUAGCGGUGAAAUGCGUAGAUAUUAGGAGGAACACCAGUGGCGAAGGCGGCUUACUGGACGGUAACUGACGUUGAGGCUCGAAAGCGUGGGG
rnacentral:rRNA from 1 species